GUAGGUAUAGUUUAAUAUAAACGUUAGAUUGUGGAUCUAAAAAUAGGGGUUAAACCCCCCUUAUCCACC
rnacentral:tRNA from 1 species